CAGUCGCCGCGGUAAUGCGGAGGGGGCUAGCGUUGUUCGGAAUUACUGGGCGUAAAGCGCACGUAGGCGGCUUGGUAAGUUAGAGGUGAAAGCCUGGAGCUCAACUCCAGAAUUGCCUUUAAGACUGCCGAGCUAGCAGGUGAGAGAGGUAAGUGGAAUUCCGAGUGUAGAGGUGAAAUUCGUAGAUAUUCGGAAGAACACCAGUGGCGAAGGCGGCUUACUGGCUCAUACUGGACGCUGAGGUGCGAAAGCGUGGGGAGCAAACAGGAUUAGAUACCCGUGUAGUCCCUGUCUCUUAUAC
rnacentral:rRNA from 1 species